rnacentral:rRNA from 1 species
UACAGAGGUCUCAAGCGUUGUUCGGAUUCAUUGGGCGUAAAGGGUGUGUAGGUGGCGCCGUAAGUCGGGUGUGAAAUUUCGGAGCUUAACUCCGAAACUGCAUUCGAUACUGCGGUGCUUGAGGACUGGAGAGGAGACUGGAAUUCAUGGUGUAGCAGUGAAAUGCGUAGAGAUCAGGAAGAACACCCGUGGCUAAGGCGGCUCUCUAGUACGGUACUGACGCUGAGACGCGAAAGCGUGGGGAGCGAACAGG